GGUUAAGCUGUUAAAAGCAUACACUGCUCUUGUAGAGGGCUGGGAUUCACUUCUCUUCUUAGUGCGCACAUCGACAGGUUCACAACCACUUGGGAUGGGACUCAGGUUUGGCCCUGGGCACCUCUGGGCUCCAUGGGCACCUGUAUUCACAGGCAAAUACGCAUUUAUAUAAUUGUUUUUAAGUUCACCUUCCACAGCAAGUGAUCCCCUCAUCCUGUGACCUCUAAGUUGUUGGUUAAUGUUCUAUUGGCUCUGAGGAGAAACUUCCAAUUUCCUGGAAAAAAAAUUUUUUUUUCUUCAGGGUUCAACUUUCUUCAGAAAGGAUAAUUCCAGAUUCCAGGAAAGAGCAAGCCUUAGUAGUUGUUUCAAGGCAGGAGCAGAGCGGUUCGCAUUCUGUGAAUUGAAAUAGAAAGUAAUGUUGAGGUCAUGGCCAGCUUCCCUGGUUUGGGGAAACUACUGGUUUGCUAACUAGGCAGUUGUUAGGUCUGAGUCCGUUACUCUGCAAGGUCAGUUCUUCCUCCAAAACAGGAGUGUUGAAACUAUGCCAUGGUCCAGAGGUCCUCUGCUCUGCAAAUCCAGAUCUCUUGGCUUCUCCACUUGGGACUCGAGGCUCUGCUUUCUCAGCCUCCGGAGACUGCCGAUUCAGCUUGAGGCUGCGUCAGCUAUCAUGGACAGAAUAGACUUCUGACCUUGGAAGAGCCAACUGUGUAGGUCAAAGCCAUUUCUUCCAAGAUGAGACUUUCGAUCACAUUGUUUUCAUGAGAAGCUGUGUAAAGAAGUUUAUAAGAAUAAUUACAAUUACGAAGACGCCACAGCAAAUUCUGUGCGUGUCUGGGCUAAGUGAAAUGAUUUUGAUUCUAUGGACUUCAAAAGUACGAGGUGGUUUCCUGGGUUGUCGUGCAUAGUUUUAAUUUGCAAUAAUUUCACAGGUGUUGGGGAUGAUAUUCAGAGUAUACCUUUCCUAUUGUUAUCAAUACGUUAUCAAUAGAUAUGCUUGAGGUAAUUUGUAAUUGCUGUGACCAAAAUACCUGACCAGAAGCAACUUAAAGGAGGAAAGACUAAUUUUGGCUAUUAUGGUUGGAAGGUAGGGUGCGGAACAGUGCGUGGUGAGGGGAAGUCUGGUAAGGUUGAGCUAAAGGCUAGAAGCCUGGAGAUCCUGAAG
rnacentral:sRNA from 1 species